CCCCUCUCAGGGAUGCACUUGGAGAGUUUCCAGUCCUCUACCAGUCUCGGGUACGAGAGGAACAAUCCAGCAGAGAUCUACCCAUUCCAUUCCUAGCUUGGCCAGUGGCUAGCGAGUGGAAGGUUAUCUGCUACAAGU